UGCCGUGGGCGCUGGAGAAUUGAGGGGGGCUGCUCCUAGUACGAGAGGACCGGAGUGGACGCAUCACUGGUGUUCGGGUUGUCAUGCCAAUGGCACUGCCCGGUAGCUAAAUGCGGAAGAGAUAAGUGCUGAAAGCAUCUAAGCACGAAACUUGCCCCGAGAUGAGUUCUCCCUGAGACUUUAAGUCUCCUGAAGGAACGUUGAAGACGACGACGUUGAUAGGCCGGGUGUGUAAGCGCAGCGAUGCGUUGAGCUAACCGGUACUAAUGAACCGUGAGGCUUAACCUUACAACGCCGAAG
rnacentral:rRNA from 1 species